CUUGGUCAUUUAGAGGAAGUAAAAGUCGUAACAAGGUUUCCGUAGGUGAACCUGCGGAAGGAUCAUUAUUGAAUAAACUUGGUUGGGUUGCUGCUGGUUCUUCGGAACAUGUGCACACCUGGCGCCAUUUUUACCACCUGUGCACCUUUUGUAGACCUGGAUAUCUCUCGAGGAAACUCGGUUUGAGGACUGCUGUGCGCAAGCCAGCUUUCCUUACAUUUCCGGUCUAUGUUUUUAUAUACCCCAUCAGAAUGUAACAGAAUGUCAUUAAUAGGCCUUGGUGCCUUUAAAUAAAAUACAACUUUCAACAACGGAUCUCUUGGCUCUCGCAUCGAUGAAGAACGCAGCGAAAUGCGAUAAGUAAUGUGAAUUGCAGAAUUCAGUGAAUCAUCGAAUCUUUGAACGCACCUUGCGCUCCUUGGUAUUCCGAGGAGCAUGCCUGUUUGAGUGUCAUUAAAUUCUCAACCUUUCUGGCUUUUAUUAGUCCGUUAGGCUUGGAUGUGGGAGUUGCGGGCUUCUCAGAAGUCAGCUCUCCUUAAAUGCAUUAGCGAAACCUUUGUUGACCAUCUCUGGUGUGAUAAUUAUCUACGCCAUUGGGAAGCAGCUUUAAAAUCGGUUUAGCUUCUAACCGUCUUCUGGACAAUUCUUGACAUUUGACCUCAAAUCA
rnacentral:rRNA from 1 species